AGCUGCAAACCCACCAGCCACGUGAUCAGCAUGGCCACCAGCUGGCCACGUAGCUGCCUCCUGCCUCCCACCUCCCUUGGACCCACCCAGCAUUUCUGGGCCUUCCUUAUGGGAACUCUCUGCCUGGA